rnacentral:rRNA from 1 species
GAUGAACGCUGACAGAAUGCUUAACACAUGCAAGUCGAUGGGGAAGUGGUGCUUGCACCAUGGCAACCAUGGCGGACGGGUGAGUAACGCGUAAGGAACUUACCUGCAGGACUGGGAUAACAGGGGGAAACUCCUGACAAGACCGGAUAAUGUCAUGGAGCUGCAUGGCUUUAUGAUGAAAGGAGACGCCUGCGGAGAGCCUUGCGUCCUAUUAGCUAGUUGGUGAGGUAAUGGCUCACCAAGGCGAAGAUAGGUAGCCGGCCUGAGAGGGUGGACGGCCACAAGGGGACUGAGAUACGGCCCUUACUCCUACGGGAGGCAGCAGUGGGGAAUAUUGGACAAUGGGGGCAACCCUGAUCCAGCAAUUCUGUGUGCACGAAGAAGGUUUUCGGAGUGUAAAGUGCUUUCAGCAGGGAAGAAGUAAGUGACGGUACCUGCAGAAGAAGCGACGGCUAAAUACGUG